AGCGGCGGACUGGUGAGUAACGCGUGGGUGACGUACCUCUGUGACGGGGACAGCUCCUAGAAAUAGGAGAUAAUACCGGAUACGCUGCAUGUUGUCAGAGGACAUGCAGGAAAGGUUCUUUUGAACCGCACAGAGAGCGGCCCGCGUACUAUUAGCUGGUUGGUGAGGUAACGGCCCACCAAGGCGACGAUAGUUACCCGGCCUAAGAGGGUGAUCGGGCACAUUGGGACUGAGAUACGGCCCAGACUCCUACGGGAGGCAGCAGCUAAGAAUAUUCCGCAAUGGGGGAAACCCUGACGGAGCGACGCCGCGUGGAUGAUGAAGGCCGGAAGGUUGUAAAAUCCUUUUAUGACUGAGGAAUAAGUGAAGUGAGAGAUACGCUUCAUGGUGACUGUAGGUCAUGAAUAAGCAACGGCUAAUUACGUGCCAGCAGCCGCGGUAACACGUAAGUUGCGAGCGUUGUUCGGAAUUAUUGGGCGUAAAGGGUAUGUAGGCGGUUCUGCAAGUCUGGUGUGAAAUGCCGGGGCUCAACCCCGGAACUGCGUUGGAAACUGCAGGACUUGAAUCGCUGAGGGGCAGCCAGAAUUCCAGGUGUAGGGGUGAAAUCUGUAGAUAUCUGGAAGAAUACCAAUGGCGAAGGCAGGCUGCCAGCAGAUGAUUGACGCUGAGGUACGAAGGUGCGGGGAGCAAACAGGAUUAGAUACCCUGGUAGUCCGCACAGUCAACUA
rnacentral:rRNA from 1 species